rnacentral:rRNA from 1 species
AGUGAACGCUGGCGGUAGGCCUAACACAUGCAAGUCGAACGGCAGCACAGUAAGAGCUUGCUCUUACGGGUGGCGAGUGGCGGACGGGUGAGGAAUACAUCGGCAUCUACUUUUUCGUGGGGGAUAACGUAGGGAAACUUACGCUAAUACCGCAUACGACCUACGGGUGAAAGCAGGGGAUCUUCGUACCUUGCGCGAUUGAAUGAUCCGAUGUCGGUUUAGCUAGUUGGCGGGGUAAAGGCCCACCAAGGCGACGAUCCGUAGCUGGUCUGAGAGGAUGAUAGGCGACACGGGAACUGAGACACGGUCAAGACGACUACGGGAGGCAGCAGUGGGGAAUAUUGGACAAUGGGCGCAAGCCUGACCCAGCCAUACCGCGUGGGUGAAGAAGGCCUUGGGGUUGUAAAGCCCUUUUGUUGGGAAAGAAAAGCAGCAGGUUAAUACCCCGCUGUUCUGACGGUACCUAAAGAAUAAGCACCGGCUAACUUCGUG